GCUGGAAAACUGUGGUUCAUUUCUUAAUCUUGUGCCUCGCAAACGAACUUGUGGCUAGAGAAAAUUUUGCUAUCCAUAUUUCUAAGGAAAACUCAAGCAAGACAUUGGGGUGGAAACAAAAACCUUUUACCUCCUGUUGUCCCUAAGGACUAUGGUUAGAUCCGACUGAUUGUGUCCCUGGAAAACUCUGCAGAACCAAGACCAAACCCAACAUAGGUGACAGAUAUAACCUGCCAUCAUGAAUGGGUGGCAGUUCAGGGGGACUUGGACUUCUCUUCUUUUGCCACCAAGUGUCCACACUGAUGUCCUCCCUUCCUGAGCAGAGGAGAAAAAUCUGGCCCCCAGAAGUAUUAGAGCUGGGCAACAGUGAAAGCUGAACGGAAGCACAUUUGCCUCUCCAUGCCAGGGGCUGUACAGUUCUAGAAGUCAGAUUGUUAUGUUUUCUAGAUGACCUUGUUCUUUAUGAAUUUAUAGAUCAAGAAAUGAAAGCACAGACACACAAGAGUAUUGUCCUGGGACAUCCGGCAGUUGGUGGCAACUUAAGAUUCAACCUCAAGUCUUUGAAUUCUCCUCAGCGACUGGAAGAAUCAGGGAGGGCAGUGAUUUAAGCAUAUGCAGACAUAGCCCAAGGCCACUGCACCACAGGUUCUGAGACGAAGGCCUAUGUUUUGAGAAAGAAACAACUUCAGAAAUUCCCCAAAUUUCAGAACUCAUGAAACUUUCAGCUGACUCUGGGGAGGGGAAGAGAAAGAAACCUCCAUACUUGACGGGCCCAUAUAUUUCUUUACACCCUUAAAUAAACAUGCAUGCAUACCAGGAGGAUGCUAUAGAUUAAGC
rnacentral:lncRNA from 1 species